rnacentral:misc_RNA from 1 species
GGAUGAAGAACGUAGCGAAAUGCGAUAAGUAGUGUGAAUUGCAGAAUUCAGUGAAUCAUCGAAUCUUUGAACGCACAUUGCGCCCCUUGGUAUUCCAUGGGGCAUGCCUGUUCGAGCGUCAUUUGUACCUUCAAGCUUUGCUUGGUGUUGGGUGUUUGUCCAUUCUCUUGCAGAGGGACUCGCCUUAAAGUAAUUGGCAGCCAGUGUUUUGGUUUUGAAGCGCAGCACAAGUCGCGAUUCAAAGCUAUACGCCCGCUUCCACAAGCCUUUUUCACUUUUGACCUCGGAUCAGGUAGGGAUACCCGCUGAACUUAAGCAUAUCAAUAAGCGAGGA